rnacentral:rRNA from 1 species
UACGUAAGUGGCGAGCGUUAUCCGGAAUUACUGGGCGUAAAGGGUGCGUAGGCGGCUCAGAAAGUUGAAUGUGAAAGCCCUCGGCUUAACCGAGGAAUUGCAUCCAAAACUACUGGGCUUGAGUGAGAUAGAGGUGAGCGGAACUCACGGUGGAGCGGUGAAAUGCGUUGAUAUCGUGAGGAACACCGGUGGCGAAAGCGGCUCACUGGAUCUUUGCUGACGCUGAGGCACGAAAGCUAGGGUAGGCGAACGGG